rnacentral:rRNA from 1 species
AUUGAACGCUGGCGGCAGGCCUAACACAUGCAAGUCGAACGAGUGGCGGACCUGUGGGUAAUGUCUGGGAAACUGCCUGAUUGACGGGGAUAAAUACUGGGAACGGUAGCUAAUAACGCAUACCAUCGGAUGUGCCCAGAUGGGAUUAGCUAGUAGGUAGGGUAACUGCUCACCUAGGCGACGAUCCCUAGCUGGUCUGAGAGGAUGACCGGCCACACUGGAACUGAGACACGGUCCAGACUCCUACGGGAGGCAGCAGUUGGGAAUAUUGCACAAUGGGCGAAAGCCUGAUGCAGCCAUGCCGCGUGUAUGAAGAAGGCUUUCGGGUUGUAAAGUACUGUCAGCGGGGAGGCGUUACCCGCAGAAGAAGCACCGGCUAACUCCGUGCCAGCAGCCGCGGUAAUAC